rnacentral:lncRNA from 1 species
AUGUCUCAGCUGCUAAAUGACAGGGAAGCCAGAAAAAUUGUCUCAGGGAUAAAUACCCUGUUCAAGCAAUGGAAUGAGAAAUCAGAACCCUAUUUUUCAGAAGAAUAUAGCCCAUCUCAUGAUCUAAUCCUAUAUCUGGAGAGAGUGCAGGCUGUGCUACAGUCUGUGCCUCAGUGGCCUGUUACGAAGAGAUUGCUUCUGGUAGAUGGAGCUAUAAGGAAUGUAAUAACGCAAUAUUUAAACUUCACUGAAGGUAAAGCUACAUGGUGGUUACUUGUCAGUAGCACUGUCCAAAGGCAGUUAUUGCAGGGAUCCACCGUGUGUGUGAGUGAGGACAUUUGCACCAGGAACUGGAGCAAGGCUGCAGCCUUGUAUGUCCAGGUGCCAGCAGCUGGGAUCCAGUGGCAGCUGCUGGGCAGACUGAGUGCCUGAGUGCUGGAGGGAUCCACCUUGUGGACAUGUACACGUUUAUUUCCCCUAACAGACAUACAUCCUGAACAGCCUUGCCUCUGUUGGGCUACUAGAUUUAGCAGCCCCUAACGUUAUCUAGUAACAUUUUUGGUGUUGUCUUUUAUUUGAGAAGGGUGAGGUUACAGUUUUCCUUGGGUCCUUAAGGAAUUAGGCAAAUUUUCUGCAUUUCAAAAGAAUUUUCCGUCUAAAUCAGCUAUUACAUAUGGGAAGUGUCCAAUGUUAUUUACAGCAUUUAUAGCUAGAAAUCUGCAUAGGACCUUAUUUUCCUCUCGUAAAAAUCACUAAAGCUUGCUGAAGUCACUAGAGCUACUCUGGUAUAGCUGUGAAAGAGGACAGGGUCAUAUUUUGCUGAUGUAAGAGUCCCAGUGCAACAUGGAAUCUUUGUCUUUAACUGUUGUGUCUUUCAAACCAUGUUGUGCAUAGUUUUCUUUCCUGGAAGGAUGCUUCCAGCCCCUGAAUUACUCUGUAGGUUAAAUAUUUUCUGUAUGUGGUGGUGGGGAACUGUCUUACAGAAGCAUUACGUAUCCUGGAAAAACUGAUUGCCUUUACCCAAAGAGAUGGAUUCAUUCAUCUAGACAUCAGAAAGCUAUUUGUGGAGUUAAAACAGGUAUGUUGUUAUUUAAUGUCUGCAUACUAGUUUGCAUAAAGCUACACAGGCUUAAUUUAGAAGUGAAAAAUACUGGCUAAGUAGAGUAUUUAACUUUUUAUUUAGCAGCAUUUUGGUCCAACUUUAAUUUAUUUACUUAUUUUAAUCUUCUGACAUUCAUGAGAAUUAACACAGAGUGUGAAUUAAAUCUGUUACUUUAUCCUUAAAUUCAUUUUUAAAGAGACAGUGUAUUCACUACUUUUUAGAUGUUGAUAAGCAACACUUCCUACGUAUGCGAUGAUGUGCUUACAAUGUUCGAGAAGGCCCUGCAGCUUCCACGGGGCUCUGAUAUCACUGAUGUUUUAGCCAUACAUGUGUGUCCUGACAGUGACUCAGAGGUGGCUUUCAAGCUAAGCAACCAGGUCCAGUCGCUAAAGGAAGCUGUAAGUAUUUCUGAAUUCUUUUCGUUUAAAGCUUGCAGUGCCUUACUUAUAUUGCUAUCACAAAAUGAAAUAUAUUAACAGGGGCUGUAGAUUACUUCUUAGGGUUUGCUAUUAAUAAGUGAUUGGCAACUAAUUAUUUAAACUGAUUAGAAUGUGCUUGGUGGCAAAUCUAAGAACCAGGGCCAAAAUCUCUGGAGUGCUUACCUUUUACUGGUUUUAAACAAUUGUUCUCUUUACUGUGAAAGGUCCUGCUUCUGCAGAAAGUGACUUAUGGACAACAGAGCCUGCCAGAUUCAAUAACGGAUGAUUAUUUGGGAUGGCAAGAAAUAGAAGAGCAGCUAGCUGAAAGUUACCAUUAUUACUGUGUAAUUAAUCAGUUGCUGAGAACAGAAGCGCCAUCUGAGGAGGAUGUCCAUUUCAGCUCUUGUCAGGAAGAGCUGUUCUUCUCACUGUAUGUAUUUUGGAAGUGCUUUAAUACAUAAAGAUCCUGAUUCUCUUCUUGCUGAUGCCAGCCUGGAGUAGGUAUAGUAAUGAGUAAAUGAAUAGGUAAAAAGGUUAAACUCCUGCUUUCUGCAUUUGAUUACCACCUGAAAUAAACCAUUUUCUGUAGCAGAAACA